rnacentral:rRNA from 1 species
AUUGAACGCUGGCGGCAUGCUUUACACAUGCAAGUCGAACGGUAACAGGCCUUCGGGCGCUGACGAGUGGCGAACGGGUGAGUAAUGCAUCGGAACGUGCCCAGUCGUGGGGGAUAACGCAGCGAAAGCUGUGCUAAUACCGCAUACGAUCUAUGGAUGAAAGCGGGGGACCGUAAGGCCUCGCGCGAUUGGAGCGGCCGAUGUCAGAUUAGGUAGUUGGUGGGGUAAAGGCUCACCAAGCCAACGAUCUGUAGCUGGUCUGAGAGGACGACCAGCCACACUGGGACUGAGACACGGCCCAGACUCCUACGGGAGGCAGCAGUGGGGAAUUUUGGACAAUGGGCGCAAGCCUGAUCCAGCAAUGCCGCGUGCAGGAAGAAGGCCUUCGGGUUGUAAACUGCUUUUGUACGGAACGAAAAGGUCUGGGUUAAUACCCUGGGCUCAUGACGGUACCGUAAGAAUAAGCACCGGCUAACUACGUGCCAGCCGCCGCAGUAAUAC